AGAUUGAACGCUGGCGGCAUGCCUUACACAUGCAAGUCGAACGGCAGCACGGGGGUAACCCUGGUGGCGAGUGGCGAACGGGUGAGUAAUAUAUCGGAACGUACCCUGGAGUGGGGGAUAACGCAGCGAAAGUUGCGCUAAUACCGCAUACGAUCUCAGGAUGAAAGUGGGGGAUUCGCAAGAACCUCAUGCUCCUGGAGCGGCCGAUAUCUGAUUAGCUAGUUGGUAGGGUAAAAGCCUACCAAGGCAUCGAUCAGUAGCUGGUCUGAGAGGACGACCAGCCACACUGGGACUGAGACACGGCCCAGACUCCUACGGGAGGCAGCAGUGGGGAAUUUUGGACAAUGGGGGCAACCCUGAUCCAGCAAUGCCGCGUGAGUGGAGAAGGCCUUCGGGUUGUAAAGCUCUUUUGUCCGGAAGAACGGUCCUUUCUAAUACAGAGGCUAAUGACGGUACCGGAAGAAUAAGCACCGGCUAACUACGUGCCAGCAGCCGCGGUAACG
rnacentral:rRNA from 1 species